UAGGGCAAAAGACUUGUAGAUAUAACCUCUAAAUAGGAGAUUCUUCCCCUACCUGCCAUCUCUACAUCCCCACUUUUCUUCUUCUCCAUUGCAGAUCUAGAUUUAAGAGGAAGAACAAGGUGUGAUUCCCCAUCCUCUCAGAGAAAGUGGUCCAACCCACUCCAGCGGUGAAUCUGUGUUUCUUCAUUGGCGCCCAUCGUAUCAAAACCUAGAUCAUCACAUCACAGUUUUUCCCUAAUUAAUCUCUAGACCUGAUUUUUUCAUGAAGGUUUUUCAAGAUCUGAUCUACUGGGGUGAAGUUACCAGAUUUGUUUUGUUCUGAUGAAGCUCAAGAUUUACACUUUUAGAUCUGUUGGCGCUCAAAUCUGAGAUCUGUGUUUUUCAGAUUUGAAAUCCUGACUUACGAGUUUAAAAGCUCAAGGCCGAUGCAUACACCAUGACGCGAAAACGAGUGUAAACAUCAUAUCGGAAACCGUGCUGCAACGCAUAACCCCGGCAAAUGACUUCCGAAUACACAGAUGUUUGAUUGUCCCUCCUAGACAAUACACUGGUAACACACUUAGAAAACUCUAGCAAUGUGGCCCCAUAUGAGAAAUUGAGAUAAGGCAUUGUUAACCAGAUUGACCUCCAACUGCGUGACAAAACACUCAUUUCAACAACCUCACUGAUAUCAAGAUAGGAGAGGAUUUUAUGGAUAAGAUGACUUGGCAAGCCGCUCAGCCUAUCUCCAGAAUCCAUUUCACUUUUUCCCCCAAACGCUGCAACAUAACAGAAUGUAAAACAUCUAAUUUGGUUUGACAUCCACUGAAAUUUUCUUAUUUUACAGACAAAAAA